rnacentral:rRNA from 1 species
UACGUAGGGUGCAAGCGUUGUCCGGAAUUAUUGGGCGUAAAGAGCUCGUAGGCGGUCUGUCGCGUCUGCUGUGAAAACUCAGGGCUCAACCCUGAGCUUGCAGUGGGUACGGGCAGACUAGAGUGCGGUAGGGGAGACUGGAAUUCCUGGUGUAGCGGUGAAAUGCGCAGAUAUCAGGAGGAACGCCGGUGGCGAAGGCGGGUCUCUGGGCCGAUACUGACGCUGAGGAGCGAAAGCGUAGGGAGCAAACAGG